AGCGAACGCUGGCGGCAGGCCUAACACAUGCAAGUCGAACGAAGCCUUCGGGCUUAGUGGCGGACGGGUGAGUAACACGUGGGAACGUACCUUUUGGUUCGGAACAACUCAGGGAAACUUGAGCUAAUACCGGAUGAGCCCUUAGGGGGAAAGAUUUAUCGCCGAAAGAGCGGCCCGCGUUAGAUUAGCUAGUUGGUGAGGUAAAGGCUCACCAAGGCAACGUUCUAUAGCUGGUCUGAGAGGAUGAUCAGCCACACUGGGACUGAGACACGGCCCAGACUCCUACGGGAGGCAGCAGUGGGGAAUCUUGCGCAAUGGGCGAAAGCCUGACGCAGCCAUGCCGCGUGAAUGAUGAAGGUCUUAGGAUUGUAAAAUUCUUUUACCAGGGACGAUAAUGACGAUACCUGGAGAAAAAGCCCCGGCUAACUUCGUGCCAGCAGCCGCCGUAACAC
rnacentral:rRNA from 1 species